GGAUUAGAUACCCUGGUAGUCCACGCCGUAAACGAUGAGUACUAGUUAUUGGAGGUAUUGACCCCUUCAGUGACGCAGCUAACGCAUUAAGUACUCCGCCUGGGAAGUACGGUCGCAAGACUAAAACUCAAAGGAAUUGACGGGGGCCCGCACAAGCGGUGGAUUAUGUGGUUUAAUUCGAAGCAACGCGCAGAACCUUACCUAGGCUUGAAAUCCUACGAAUCUGGUGUAAUGACCGGAGUGCCCGCAAGGGAAUGUAGUGACAGGUGCUGCAUGGCUGUCGUCAGCUCGUGCUG
rnacentral:rRNA from 1 species